UACGUAGGGUGCGAGCGUUGUUCGGAAUCAUUGGGCGUAAAGCGCGUGUAGGCGGGUUGUUAAGUCUGGUGUGAAAGCCCGGGGCCUAACCCCGGAAGUGCACUGGAUACUGGCAAACUAGAGGGUGAGAGAGGAAAGUGGAAUUCCUGGUGUAGGGGUGAAAUCCGUAGAGAUCAGGAGGAACAUCGGUUGCGAAGGCGGCUUUCUGGCUCAUUGCUGACGCUGAGACGCGAAAGAGUGGGGAGCAAACAGG
rnacentral:rRNA from 1 species